AGUGAACGCUGGCGGUAGGCCUAACACAUGCGAGUCGAACGGCAGCACAGUAAGAGCUUGCUCUUACGGGUGGCGAGUGGCGGACGGGUGAGGAAUACAUCGGAAUCUACUUUUUCGUGGGGGAUAACGUAGGGAAACUUACGCUAAUACCGCAUACGACCUACGGGUGAAAGCAGGGGAUCUUCGGACCUUGCGCGAUUGAAUGAGCCGAUGUCGGAUUAGCUAGUUGGCGGGGUAAAGGCCCACCAAGGCGACGAUCCGUAGCUGGUCUGAGAGGAUGAUCAGCCACACUGGAACUGAGACACGGUCCAGACUCCUACGGGAGGCAGCAGUGGGGAAUAUUGGACAAUGGGCGCAAGCCUGAUCCAGCCAUACCGCGUGGGUGAAGAAGGCCUUCGGGUUGUAAAGCCCUUUUGUUGGGAAAGAAAAGCAGCAGGUUAAUACCCCGCUGUUCUGACGGUACCCAAAGAGUAAGCACCGGCUAACUUCGUG
rnacentral:rRNA from 1 species